UACAGAGGUCUCAACCGUUGUUCGGAUUCAUUGGGCGUAAAGGGUGCGUAGGCGGUCGCGUAAGUCAGGUGUGAAAUCUCAGGGCUCAACCCUGAAACUGCACUUGAUACUGCGUGGCUCGGGUACUGGAGAGGAGACUGGAAUUUACGGUGUAGCAGUGAAAUGCGUAGAUAUCGUAAGGAAGACCAGUGGCGAAGGCGAGUCUCUGGACAGUUACCGACGCUGAGGCACGAAAGCGUGGGGAGCAAACAGG
rnacentral:rRNA from 1 species